AAGCAGCAGAGCCCCGGGGAAGGUGGUGCGACGUUACAUGUCACUGUGCUCGGUGAGAACGGAGGCGAGGCGCCAGGCGAGGCCUGCAGCAGCGAUCCCGAUCCCGGUAGCCGAGCACGGCGGCCUGCGGCGCGGCGGCGGCAGUCGGAGCCGAGAACGGCGCGGGUGCACAGACCCAGACGACCCGGCCAUUUCCUGGACGGGCCGGAGCCAAGGGAACGGAAGGGCUCCGCUGGCGGCGCUGCUCUGGUCGGGCCGCUGGCACGUGAGCCGCGGGCCUUCUCCAGGCGGAAAAGGGCAGAACCGACCUGCGGGGAAACGGCCCGGCUGGCUUCGAGGACGUCGCGCCACGGGGCAAGGACGGACGAACCACCGCAUCUGAGGCUCCGGAGGGCCCGCAAGAGAGCGGCCGAAACAUCCCCCCGCACGCACGGGCGCCCGCACGCACACGCACGUACACGCACGCACACGCACGCUCUAAAGGGCGGGGUAAGAAUUCUGAAAAAGUCCCCCGCACGCACGCAUGCGCACGCACGCACGCGCUCUGAAGGGCGGGGAAGAGUUCUGAAAAAGUCCCCCGCACGCACGCAUGCGCACGCACACGCACGCGCGCACGCACGCGCACGCACGCGCACGCACGCACGCACGCAUGGGCGUCCUUGGCUGUUCUCGUGGCCGCGUGAACCGUUGUUACCGAGGCCGCUGGGAGCGGCCGGUGGGGCUUCUGAGCGCUGGGUGAGCGCCUCUUCCUGCCACACCACCCAACGGAGGGACCGCCGUGGCCCAGAGGGUGGCUCAGCGGCCUCAGGAUCCGGCGCCGCAGCCCCCGCCCGUGUGACCGAGAGCCCCACGAAUUCAAAGCUCUGCAAGUACCAGUUAAACCUGGAUCAUCAUCUGAGAGAGGACGAUUCCAUUUCAAAAGGACGCGGUGUUUUCCCAUCAGGCUGAUGAAAUUGACUUCCCUGGAUG
rnacentral:lncRNA from 1 species